GUUAUGGACAGUUAAGUCACACAAAUUUUGGACAUUAUAGUCACACAAGUUAUGGACAUGACAGUUGCUAGAUUGUUAUUAAAGACACAUUAGCAAUAGGGAUAAAAAAUACACUAGUGAUGUAGUUCAUAUACACAAAUCAUGCCUAUUAAAGACACAAAAAGUCAUAUAAUCAAAUAUAAAAACAAAUUCAUUUCAGUGGCUUUACAGAAACAACCAAAGAACUUGGAGGCCUUCUUAAAUGAUGGAGAGUUUGCAUUGAAGGAGGGGUUCUUAAAGGAUGUAGGUCAAGAUACAUCACCCACAGCCAGUAAAUAGGUGUGCUCAUCAUCAGGUCAAGAUACAUCGCCCACAGCUGGUCAAGAGGUGUGCUCAUCAGGAAGUCAAGAUUCAUCACCCACAGCCAGUCAAGAGGUUCGGUCUUCAGCACGUAAAGAAACAUCACCCACAGUCAGUCAAGAGGUUUGGCCAUCAGAACGUCAAGAUACAUUACCCACAGCCAGUCAAGAGGUUUGCUCAUCGGCAGGUCAAGAUACAUCACCCACAGCUAGUCAAGAGGUUUGGCCAUCAGCACAUAAAGAUACAUCCCCUACAGCCAGUCAAGAGGUUUGCUCAUCAGAACGUCAAGAUACAUCACACACAGUCAGUCAGGAGGUGAACCUUAGGAAACAACUGCAACAUUGAGCCAGGUGAUAAACUUGAAACCAAACAAGCUACAAUGGCUGUGUAGCCACCUGGGUCAUACAACGAGAGUGCGCUUGGACCACUACAGGCAAAUGUCUGGCUUCAUUGAAAGAGUCAAAAUCAGCAAAGUAUUGCUGAUGCAAGACAUGGACCUUACAGAAAAGUUUGUAUGAAAGAGUCUUGAUGAAAUUGGGAGCAUUCCUUUUGAAGGUAUUUUUGAUGAUUUUUAGCUCUGCUGUUUUCGGAGAAAACCCGAGUUAUUGUC